AUGGAGGAGCAGUUGGCGGCGCUAAUCCAGUCCGUCAACGCCAGUCGGACGGCGACGGAGGCGCGAUUGGAGGCGAUCCAGACCUCCCUGGAGUUGUGGCGGCCUGCGGUGACUCACAUCCAGCAGCAAGUGGAUGAGUUACGCGCCCAGGUCGGGCGCAUCGCGCUUCAUCCUGUCCUGGCGGCGCCCUCGAAGUCAGAUCUGGGCUGUGCCGGCGACGCGGUGGUGCACGAGACGAACCACGGGCCAGAUGGCCACGGCGCGGGCGACAUCACCGGGGGACGGGCACACAGGGUGGUCACCACCCAGUUGCCCCCUCCGGUCAAGAGUACGUCUCUGACCGAUCCCGAUCCCCUUUCCCAUUCUCUUGCUCUGAGCCCGCCCGAACUGGUCAAGGAUUUUGAGCCCCGUACACCGCAUGCUACCCAGUCUAGCUGGUCACUUCCAAAACUGGAUUUCCCGUCCUUCGAUGGGGAUAACCCACAGUUUUGGAAAACCCGAUGUGAGAAAUAUUUUGAUGUCUAUAGUGUUCCACCUUAA
rnacentral:rRNA from 1 species